rnacentral:rRNA from 1 species
GGUUAAGCGACUAAGCGUACACGGUGGAUGCCCUGGCAGUCAGAGGCGAUGAAGGACGUGCUAAUCUGCGAAAAGCGUCGGUAAGGUGAUAUGAACCGUUAUAACCGGCGAUGUCCGAAUGGGGAAACCCAGUGCAAUUCG